UACGUAGGGGCGAGCGUUGUCCGGAAUGAUUGGGCGUAAAGGGCGCGUAGGCGGCCUGUCAAGUCAGUAGUGGAAGUCCAUCUUUCAAGGAUGGAAGUGCUACAGAAACUGAUGGGCUUGAGUGCAGGAGAGGUUAUCGGAAUUCCCGGUGUAGCGGUGAAAUGCGUAGAGAUCGGGAGGAACACCAGUGGCGAAGGCGGGUAACUGGACUGCAACUGACGCUGAGGCGCGAAAGUGUGGGGAGCAAACAGGAUUAGAUACCCU
rnacentral:rRNA from 1 species